GCGCAGCAGGCGCGAAACCUCUGCAAUAGGCGAAAGCUUGACAGGGUUACUCUGAGUGAUUUCCGUUAAGGAGAUCUUUUGGCACCUCUAAAAAUGGUGCAGAAUAAGGGGUGGGCAAGUCUGGUGUCAGCCGCCGCGGUAAUACCAGCACCCCGAGUGGUCGGGACGAUUAUUGGGCCUAAAGCAUCCGUAGCCGGUUCUACAAGUCUUCCGUUAAAUCCACCUGCUCAACAGAUGGGCUGCGGAAGAUACUAUGGAGCUAGGAGGCGGGAGAGGCAAGCGGUACUCAGUGGGUAGGGGUAAAAUCCGUUGAUCCAUUGAAGACCACCAGUGGCGAAGGCGGCUUGCCAGAACGCGCUCGACGGUGAGGGGAUGAAAGCUGGGGGGAGCAAAACCGGGAUUAGAUACCCCCCGUAGU
rnacentral:rRNA from 1 species